rnacentral:rRNA from 1 species
CUGAUUGAUCCUGUCAGCAGUAUUUGCUUGUUCAGAAGACUAAGCCAUGCAUGUAUAAGUUCACACCUUAAUACGGUGAAACCGCGAAUGGCUCAUUAAAUCAGCUAUUAUUUAUUAGAUCUUACAAGAUUACUUGGAUAACUGUAGUAAUUCUAGAGCUAAUACAUGAAUAUGUGCUUUGGUUCACGCCAAAUGCGAAUUUAUUAGAUCAAAACCAACCGGUUUCGGCCGUUAAAUUGGUGACUCUGGAUAACUAUUCUGAUCGCAUGACCUUGUGUCGGCGACGCAUCUUUCAAGUGUCUGCCCUAUCAACUUAAGUUGGUGAGUUAGUUGCUCACCAUGGUUAUAACGGGUAACGGAGAAUCAGUGUUCGAUACCGGAGAGGGAGCCUUAGAAACGGCUACCACAUCUAAGGAAGGCAGCAGGCGCGCAAAUUACCCACUCUCAGAACGAGGAGGUAGUGAAUUUAAAUAGCGAUGAUGAACUCUUAUGAGGCUCGUCAAUCGAAAUGAGUACAAUUUAAAUCCUUUAACGAGUACCAAUUGGAGGGCAAGUCUGGUGCCAGCAGCCGCGGUAAUUCCAGCUCCAAUAGCGAAUAUUAAAUUUGUUGCAGUUAAAAAGCUCGUAGUUGGAUCCAAGGUUAGGCAUGCCUGUCUGUUCUUAGUAGCAUGACUGUGUGUGUCUGCCUUUAUUAGUUGAAUGUUCAUUAUGGUGGUCUUCAUCGACUGCUAUGAUGUGCUCAACACGUUUACCUUGAAAAAAUCAGAGCGAUCAAGGCAGGCCUUCGUGCUUGUAUGUUGUUGCAAGGAAUAAUAGAAUAGGACUUCGGUUCUAUUUUGUUGGUUUUGAGAAUUGAAGUAAUGAACAAUAGAGACAGUCGGGGGCAUUUGUAUGGUGGCGUUAGAGGUGAAAUUCUGAGAUCGUCGCCAGACAAACUACUGCGAAAGCAUUUGCCAAGGAUGUCUUCAUUAAUCAAGAACGAAAGUCAGAGGUUCGAAGACGAUCAGAUACCGUCCUAGUUCUGACCAUAAACGAUGCCGACCUACAAUCGGGGGUGGUUUAUUAUAUUGACCCUCCCGGCUGUCCUCAGGAAACUUUAAGUUGGUUCUGGGGGGAAUAUGGUCUCAAGACUGAAACUUAAAGGAAUUGACGGAAGGGCACCACCAGGAGUGGAGCCUGCGGCUUAAUUUGACCCAACACGGGGAAUCUCACCCGGUCCGGACACUGGUAGGAUGGACAGAUUGAUAGCUCUUUCUUGAUUCAGUGGGUGGUGGUGCAUGGCCGUUCUUAGUUGGUGGAGUGAUUUGUCUGGUUAAUUCCGAUAACGAACGAGACUCUGUCCUGCUAAAUAGUCCAGUGGCAUCAAUCACUAUGUGAUUACAGCUGCUGUUACUUCUUAGAGGGAUUCGCGGAUUUAAACC